UCUAUUGGAUCUGGGUCAAUAUUUCGAUUUCUAGUAGCGACGGUUGUUAAAAAUCACAACCACACAACCCGAAAAAGAUUAGUUUCUUUCGGGUGAAAGGAUACCCUUAGUAACCACCAAAAAUGUAAUUCUAAAUCUUUGAUAAAAUAGAUAUGAUAUUUCCAAUGCAUACUAAAACUACAAUUGUACCCUCAAUAUUUCAGUUUCAAGAUAUAUUCCUGCAUUCCAUAUUAACAACAUGAUCUAAAGAAAAUCAACAUAUUAAAAGGGUAUAAAUUAUUAUGCUAAAAUAAUAAGAGAAAAAAAAAUACAUACCAAUGUACAUAAUAAUAAGUUGAUAUAACAUAAUAGAAGGGUAUGUUAAUUGCUAACAGAACCAGAAAUAAAAAAAAAUAUACCAACGCAGAUAAACAUUAACACUAAAAAAUUCCAUUAACAUUCUCUAGUAAAUGAAAAUGCAGAUAAAGUAUAACAAUUUAACAUGUAUACAUUGAUAAGAUAAAUGUAAAUAAAGUAUAAAAAUUUACAUUGUCAACAUUCAUGUGUUACCCAAUAUCAACUCUCAAACAAAAGUAACACAGAUCAACGGUAGAUAAUGUGCCGAAUGCCGACACUAUAAAACGACAGUGCAUAGAUUUCAAACUCAAAUUAUAAACAAUUUGAAGAAAAAAUCUUAGUAAUUUUAGAAAAAAUGAAUCAAAUAAUGGGUAUUGAAGGAUCAGAAAGAAGGGUUAUGAUCAAUGAAAGUGACAGUGAUAGAAGUAUUAAUGUAAGGGAGAAGUCUAAAAUGCAAUUCAAUACUAGAAUGCAUUCCCACGCCUUUUCUUACAACCCCAUUUCAUUCAAAAUUAAGCCAUUAUUUCAAUAAUAAAAAAUCAAAAAAUAGCUUAAUUAAAAAUCACUUUUUUAUAUAGAAGAAGUUGCGAGAGUCACAAUGCAAUAACUUUAGCAUAUGACAGGGGCCAUCUUCAUUAUUAUUAAGAACACAAACACUUCAUUUUCACUGUCAUAUUACUCAGACCUUUUACAAAUACCAUCAUUUCCUUCAUACCCUUUUGUUUCUAUUAAUUGAAUCAUAUGAAAAAAUUGAAAAUUGAAACGAAAGUAAUAGGAAAAAUUGAAAAUUGAAACGAAAAUAAUAGGGAAAAAAUUGAAAAUUGGAAGGAAAACAAUAUGAACAAAAUGAAAUUGAAG
rnacentral:lncRNA from 1 species